UGAAGAUGGCUUGUAUCAGGUUGCCGAAGUAACUAUCGGGCAUGGGUGGAUCAACCCUUUUACGACAAUCUGCAAAGACGGUGAAAACGGUGUAGUCUUCAGGUUUAAGGCAACGUGCUUGGGUUACAUGUUGCCAAAUGUGGACAGCUAGAGAUUGAAAAGUAGAAAAUGGUUUAGAGGCAGCGGAUGGUUGGUUGGAGUUGACUUUGGACUUGAUCUUGUCGAUGGCAGCUUCGGAAAACCUGAAGAAUUUCUCCCUCAGUUGCGGGGCUUGGUCGGUGUGGCCGUUGGAUGAAGCGACUGGGUUGGGUGGGAACGAGAGUUCCAGUUUCACGCGGGUGGUUCGGGCUUUGGUCCGCUCCAGGAACGGUGGGGCUGCAAUCGAGUUUGAGCCGCGACAGAUUUGAGCC
rnacentral:lncRNA from 1 species